rnacentral:rRNA from 1 species
AGUCGAGCGCGUCUUCGGACGAGCGGCGAACGGGUGAGUAACACGUUGGAACCUGCCCCGAACUCAGGGAUAACAUCGAGAAAUCGGUGCUAAUACCGGAUAGUCCCGAAAGGGUAAAGAUUUUUCGGUUCGGGAGGGGCCUGCGCAGUAUCAGCUUGUUGGUAAGGUAAUGGCUUACCAAGGCUACGACGCUUAGUUGGUCUGAGAGGAUGACCAGCCACAUUGGGACUGCGACACGGCCCAGACUCC